UACGGAGGGGGCGAGCGUUAAUCGGAAUUACUGGGCGUAAAGCGCACGUAGGCGGUUGGGUAAGUCGGAUGUGAAAGCCCUGGGCUUAACCUGGGAACUGCAUUCGAUACUGCUCGGCUAGAGUAUGGGAGAUGGAAGCGGAAUUUCCGGUGUAUCGGUGAAAUGCGGAGAUAUCGGAAGGAACACCAAUGGCGAAGGCAGCUUCCUGGCCCAAUACUGACGCUCAGGUGCGAAAUCGUGGGGAUCAAACAGG
rnacentral:rRNA from 1 species